GUGGGGAAUCUUGCGCAAUGGGCGAAAGCCUGACGCAGCCAUGCCGCGUGAAUGAUGAAGGUCUUAGGAUUGUAAAAUUCUUUCACCGGGGACGAUAAUGACGGUACCCGGAGAAGAAGCUCCGGCUAACUUCGUGCCAGCAGCCGCGGUAAUACGAAGGGGGCUAGCGUUGCUCGGAAUUACUGGGCGUAAAGGGCGCGUAGGCGGACAGCUUAGUCAGAGGUGAAAGCCCAGGGCUCAACCUUGGAAUUGCCUUUGAUACUGGCUGUCUUGAGUUUGGGAGAGGUGAGGGGAACUCCGAGUGUAGAGGUGAAAUUCGUAGAUAUUCGGAAGAACACCAGUGGCGAAGGCGACUCACUGGCCCAAUACUGACGCUGAGGCGCGAAAGCGUGGGGAGCAAACAGGAUUAGAAACCCGUGUAGUCC
rnacentral:rRNA from 1 species